CAAAAAGAAACUUCCCAUGCCGGGAAUCGAACCCGGGCCGCGUGGGUGAAAACCACGAAUCCUAACCACUAGACCACAUGGGACUAUGAACAUACAUCUCUAGUUUGAGUAGACAUACUGCAGAAGUU
ensembl:ncRNA C28G1.8 ncRNA